AAUGACACUUCGGUUGAUUUUGGGAAAGGACAGCGGCGGACGGGUGAGUAACGCGUAGGCAACCUGCCCCUGACAGAGGGAUAGCCAUUGGAAACGAUGAUUAAAACCUCAUAAUGCCGAAGGAACACAUGUUUCAUCGGCCAAAGAUUUAUCGGUCAGGGAUGGGCCUGCGUCUGAUUAACUAGUUGGUGAGGUAACGGCUCACCAAGGUGACGAUCAGUAGCCGACCUGAGAGGGUGAUCGGCCACAUUGGAACUGAGACACGGUCCAAACUUCUACGGAAGGCAGCAGUAGGGAAUCUUGCACAAUGGGCGAAAGCCUGAUGCAGCAACGCCGCGUGAAGGAUGAAGGCCUUCGGGUUGUAAACUUCUGUUCUUAGGGAAGAAGAAAGUGACGGUACCUAAGGAGAAAGCCCCGGCUAACUACGUGCCAGCAGCCGCGGUAAUACGUAGGGGGCAAGCGUUAUCCGGAAUUAUUGGGCGUAAAGAGUGCGUAGGUGGUUAUCUAAGCGUAAGGUUUAAGCGUGCAGCUCAACUGCAUCUCGCCUUGCGAACUGGACUACUUGAGUGCAGGAGGGGAAAGCGGAAUUCCUAGUGUAGCGGUGAAAUGCGUAGAUAUUAGGAGGAACACCAGCGGCG
rnacentral:rRNA from 1 species